AUGUCUUGGUAUGUUUCAUUUUAUUCCACUAACAGGUAUGUUUUACUUGGCAUGUGGAUCUUGUUGGCUUUUGUAGAUUCUGGUGGUUGUUUUGAUUGGAGGUGCUGUUCUCGUAUUGAUAUAGGUGGUUUAAUGUUGUCCCGAGAUGAGUGGAAAAUUCAAGUCAGAGAUAUGUUAAUACAAUCAAGAUUACACAAAACAUUGAUUAUUGGUUAG